GAAUUUACUGUAUAGAUGAAAAAGUCUAUAAAUCCAAAAAAGACGAGAAGACCCUUAGAAUUUAAAUAAAACCGAAUAGUUUUUCGUAAUAUUUUUGUUGGGGCGACAAGAAGACAAUUAACUUUAACUCUUCUGAUAAUAUAAGACGAUUAGUAAUAAGGUCGGAUAAAUUACCUGAGGGAUAACAGCAUAAUUUUAUGAUUAAGUUUGUGACCUCGAUGUUGGACUAGGAAAUUAAUAGACUAGCCGUUUAUUAUAUUGGUUCUGUUCGAACUGUUUUUCCUACAUGAUCUGAGUUCAAACCG
rnacentral:rRNA from 1 species